rnacentral:rRNA from 1 species
AGUGAACGCUGGCGGUAGGCCUAACACAUGCAAGUCGAACGGCAGCACAGUAAGAGCUUGCUCUUACGGGUGGCGAGUGGCGGACGGGUGAGGAAUACAUCGGAAUCUACUUUUUCGUGGGGGAUAACGUAGGGAAACUUACGCUAAUACCGCAUACGACCUACGGGUGAAAGCAGGGGAUCUUCGGACCUUGCGCGAAUGAAUGAGCCGAUGUCGGAUUAGCUAGUUGGCGGGGUAAAGGCCCACCAAGGCGACGAUCCGUAGCUGGUCUGAGAGGAUGAUCAGCCACACUGGAGCUGAGACACGGUCCAGACUCCUACGGGAGGCAGCAGUGGGGAAUAUUGGACAGUGGGCGCAAGCCUGAUCCAGCCAUACCGCGUGGGUGAAGAAGGCCUUCGGGUUGUAAAGCCCUUUUGUUGGGAAAGAAAAGCAGCAGGUUAAUACCCCGCUGUUCUGACGGUACCCAAAGAAUAAGCACCGGCUAACUUCGUG